rnacentral:misc_RNA from 1 species
AGUACAUGUACCUCAGUGGCGCAGAGUAGUCUUAUUAAUUUUGAAAUAUCAAGGAGACAAGGACUUAACAAUAACAUAUCAGAGGCUAUUUUAUUUACCUUUGAAAUAGCUGAAGCUGAAUUGUCAAAAUGAGCUAUUAAAGCCUAAGUCGAUGGGUCAAUGCGAAGCAAAGGGUUUUCAAUUGAUGAGUGAAGACACGUGCUUCAUAGAAUUGUGCAUGUGACACAGUGACACACAAAGUGAUCCAACAAUAAACAGUCAGUUCUUUUGAA